rnacentral:rRNA from 1 species
CAAUAGCGUAUAUUAAAGUUGUUGCGGUAAAAAAGCUCGUAGUUGGAUUUCUACCGAAGAUAGCCGGUCGGGUCUUCGACCUUGUAUCUGGUUUUGUCUUUGGUAUCCUCAUAGGGAACGUUUCUGCGCUUUAUUGCGUGGUGCGGUAUCUAUGACUUUUACUUUGAGGAAAUUAGAGUGUUCACGGCAGGCAAACGCCUUGAAUAUAUUAGCAUGUAAUAAUAACAUAGGAUCUUCGUCCUAUUUUGUUGGUUUCUAGGGCUAAGAUAAUGAUUAAUAGGGAUAAUUGGGGGCAUCUGUAUCAACGCGUCAGAGGUGGAAUUCUUGGAUUGCGUUGCGACAAACUACUGCGAAAGCAUUUGCCAAGGAUGUUUUCAUUGA